rnacentral:rRNA from 1 species
AUUGAACGCUGGCGGCAGGCCUAACACAUGCAAGUCGAGCGGAGCGGCGGACGGGUGAGGAAUGCAUAGGAAUCUGCCUGGUAGUGGGGGCUAACGUUCGGAAACGGGCGCUAAUACCGCAUAUUAACAGAAGAGGCUAGGUCGGCUUAGCUAGUUGGUGGGGUAAAGGCCUACCAAGGCGACGAUCCGUAACUGGUCUGAGAGGAUGAUCAGUCACACUGGAACGGAGACACGGUCCAGACUCCGACGGGAGGCAGCAGUGGGGAAUAUUGGAAAAUGGGCGAAAGCCUGAACCAGCCAUGACGCGUGUGUGAAGAAGGUCUUCGGAUUGUGAAGCAGUUUAAGUUGGGAGGCGUGACCAACAGAAUAAGCACCGGCUAACUUCGUGCCAGCAGCCGAGGUAUAC